GACGAACGCUGGCGGCGUGCCUAACACAUGCAAGUUGAGCGACGAACCAGGGCUUGCCCUGGGGCAAAGCAGCGAACGGGUGAGUAACACGUGGGUAACCUACCCCGAUAACCGGGACAACCCGAGGAAACUCGGGCUAAUACCGGCUGUGCUCACUGGACUUCGGUUCAGUGCGUAAAGGAAGCUUCGGCCUCCGUAUCGGGAGGGGCCCGCGGCCCAUUAGUUUGUUGGUGAGGUAACGGCUCACCAAGACCGCGAUGGGUAGCUGGUCUGAGAGGACGAUCAGCCACACUGGGACUGAGACACGGCCCAGACUCCUACGGGAGGCAGCAGUGGGGAAUCUUGCGCAAUGCGCGAAAGCGUGACGCAGCAACGCCGCGUGGGGGAAGAAGGCCUUCGGGUUGUAAACCCCUUUCAGGAGGGACGAAGGUUCGGCGGUGAAUAGCCGUCCGGACUGACGGUACCUCCACAAGAAGCCCCGGCUAACUACGUG
rnacentral:rRNA from 1 species